rnacentral:rRNA from 1 species
UACGAAGGGGGCUAGCGUUGCUCGGAAUCACUGGGCGUAAAGCGCACGUAGGCGGCUUGUUAAGUCAGGGGUGAAAUCCUGGAGCUCAACUCCAGAACUGCCUUUGAUACUGAAGAUCUUGAGUUCGGGAGAGGUGAGUGGAACUGCGAGUGUAGAGGUGAAAUUCGUAGAUAUUCGCAGGAACACCAGUGGCGAAGGCGACUCGCUGGUCUUUUGCUGACGCUGAGACGCGAAAGCGUGGGGAGCAAACAGG